AUGGAAACGCUAAACUUUAUAGAUACAACAGUGUGCCAAGAGGUGAAAGAAAAUGCUACUAUGAAAAUACAUUCAUUGAAGAUGAUGAACUGGUAGAGGAGCACUUGAACAAUGUUUAUUCCAACAACUCAGCUAAGGGUCAUUCAAGUAAUUCCUAUUGUGGUUCCUCUCAUUGGAAAGCUGCAAGGAAUACGGUCAACCGCCAAUCCAAACUUGAUGAAACUGGUCUUGUUGUAGCAGGCUGUAGACAUUCUCUGGCUCAAUCUGCUGUGAAUAUGCAUCAAGGUGAACUGUAUGG